GACGAACGCUGGCGGCGUGCCUAAUACAUGCAGGUAGAACGCUGAAGGAGGAGCUUGCUUCUCUGGAUGAGUUGCGAACGGGUGAGUAACGCGUAGGUAACCUGCCUGGUAGCGGGGGAUAACUAUUGGAAACGAUAGCUAAUACCGCAUAAGAGUAGAUGUCGCAUGACAUUUGCUUAAAAGGUGCAAUUGCAUCACUACCAGAUGGACCUGCGUUGUAUUAGCUAGUUGGUGAGGUAACGGCUCACCAAGGCAACGAUACAUAGCCGACCUGAGAGGGUGAUCGGCCACACUGGGACUGAGACACGGCCCAGACUCCUACGGGAGGCAGCAGUAGGGAAUCUUCGGCAAUGGACGGAAGUCUGACCGAGCAACGCCGCGUGAGUGAAGAAGGUUUUCGGAUCGUAAAGCUCUGUUGUAAGAGAAGAACGAGUGUGAGAGUGGAAAGUUCACACUGUGACGGUAUCUUACCAGAAAGGGACGGCUAACUACGUG
rnacentral:rRNA from 1 species